rnacentral:rRNA from 1 species
AGAGUUUGAUCCUGGCUCAGGAUGAACGCUGGCGGCGUGCCUAACACAUGCAAGUCGAACGAAGCACAUUGGAUUGAUUCUUCGGAAGAAAGAGAAUGUGACUGAGUGGCGGACGGGUGAGUAACGCGUGGGUAACCUGCCUCAUACAGGGGGAUAACAGUUAGAAAUGACUGCUAAUACCGCAUAAGACCACGGAGUCGCAUGACUCAGUGGGAAAAACUCCGGUGGUAUGAGAUGGACCCGCGUCUGCUUAGGUAGUUGGUGGGGUAACGGCCUACCAAGCCGACGAUCAGUAGCCGACCUGAGAGGGUGACCGGCCACAUUGGGACUGAGACACGGCCCAAACUCCUACGGGAGGCAGCAGUGGGGAAUAUUGCACAAUGGGGGAAACCCUGAUGCAGCGACGCCGCGUGAGCGAAGAAGUAUUUCGGUAUGUAAAGCUCUAUCAGCAAGGAAGAAAAUGACGGUACCUGACUAAGAAGCACCGGCUAAAUACGUGCCAGCAGCCGCGGUAAUACGUAUGGUGCAAGCGUUAUCCGGAUUUACUGGGUGUAAAGGGAGCGUAGACGGCUGUGUAAGUCUGAAGUGAAAGCCCGGGGCUCAACCCCGGGACUGCUUUGGAAACUAUGCAGCUAGAGUGUCGGAGAGGUAAGUGGAAUUCCCAGUGUAGCGGUGAAAUGCGUAGAUAUUGGGAGGAACACCAGUGGCGAAGGCGGCUUACUGGACGAUGACUGACGUUGAGGCUCGAAAGCGUGGGGAGCAAACAGGAUUAGAUACCCUGGUAGUCCACGCCGUAAACGAUGACUACUAGGUGUCGGGUGUCACAGACAUUCGGUGCCGCAGCACACGCCAUAAGUAGUCCA